rnacentral:rRNA from 1 species
AGUGGACGCUGGCGGUAGGCCUAACACAUGCAAGUCGAACGGCAGCACAGUAAGAGCUUGCUCUUACGGGUGGCGAGUGGCGGACGGGACAGGAAUACAUCGGAAUCUACUUUUUCGUGGGGCUUCACGUAGGGAAACUUACGCUCAUACCGCAUACGCCCUACGGGGGAAAGCGGGGGAUCUUCUGACCUUGCGCGAUUGAAUGCGCCGAUGUCGGAUUAGCUAGUUGGCGGGGUAAACGCCAACCCAGGCGACGAUCCGUAGCUGGUCUGAGAGGAUGAUCAGCCACACGGGAGCGGAGACACGGUCCAGGCUCCUACGGGAGGGAGCAGUGGGGAAUAUUGGACAAUGGGGGCAAGCCUGAUCCAGCCAUACCGCGUGGGUUAAGAAGGCCUUCGGGUUGUAAAGCCCUUUUGUUGGGAAAGAAAAGCAGCAGGUUAAUACCCCGCUGUUCUGACGGUACCCAAAGAAUAAGCACCGGCUAACUUCGUG